ACACACCGCCCGUCACUCUCCCCAAGUCUAAAAAAAAUUUUACAUUUAAUAAUAGGUACUACCAGCAAAGGGGAGGCAAGUCGUAACAUGGUAAGUGUACCGGAAGGUGUACUUGGAUAAAUCAAAAUGUGGCUAAAUAGAAAAGCAUCUCUCUUAC
rnacentral:rRNA from 1 species